AGGUGGUGAGUCCUCUGACAAGGGCAAGGAAAUUGUACCCGAGGAUCGAUAAUCGGAGUACUUUAGAAAUUCGACUCUUGAAAUAGUGAGUAACCUUACUAUCGUCUUAAUUAUCUAAAGUUGUUUUUAUCCGAUUUUAUGAUUUUAUGGAAAAUGACUUUAAAUGGCAAAUCUUUAUGUUUUAUAAACAAAAUGUGUUUAAACAAAAUGAUUUUAUAAAUUGUCUUAAAAUUGAAUAAUGAUUUUGAAAAAUAGAGUAAUUGGAGAGCACUGAUAUGUUGUAAAUUUAUAAUUUGAAUAAAUGGCUUAUGUUAAUGUGUUGGCAUGACUGGCUGGGUUGUGGUUUUUGUGAACUAUAUGAAUUGUUCUAUUUUACAUUUGCAGGCUGGGUAGUAUUAAAUUAACCCUGUCAUGCUGUCAAAAUUUUAUUGUAUGGUCGGUAUUGCUUGUUGCAGUGGGCUGGGUUCUGUGGACUAGCCUAUUAAAGGGACACGAAAUCCUGACAUAUUUUACCUUGUUUGGAGAGGCGAGUAGGGUAACUCCCGAGGUAUAACUUUUAAAGUUCACUUCACGCUAAACCACCACGUGAGGGGGAACUCGGCCAACGCCAAGGAACGGCUAUAUUUUCUAAAUAAAAACAGGAUUUAUGAGUAUAUAACUUUUUAAUAGCCUUGGCGGACUCAGUUUGGGAUAGCCCUCGGCCAAGGUAUCCCUGAUAACUAGGUAUGAGAAUAAUUUUUGGCAUGAGCCAAGUUUUAAGAAAUUCAUAAGCCAUGUUAAUUACUCGAUUUAAAUGAAUUGAAUUUUAUUUGGUUGAAAUGAGUUGAAAGAUGAUAAAUUAAAGUAUGAUGAUUUAUUUUAUCUAUCUCCAUUUACUCGACUUUAGAUAUUUUAGAUGGUAUUUGUUUACUCACUGAGAUUUUAUAAUCUCACUACCCUCUUUUCCACCCAUUUCAGGCUCAGAAUAGAUUGUAGAUAACUAAUAUCGUCGAGGACUUCAGUUGGACUUGCCACGUCCAAAAACUGUAGGUUCAUUUCUUUUAAUACUUUUAGUUAUUCGUGAGCCCACGUGUCACUGUAAAUUAAAUUUUA
rnacentral:lncRNA from 1 species